GAUGAAGAACGUAGCGAAAUGCGAUAAGUAAUGUGAAUUGCAGAAUUCAGUGAAUCAUCGAAUCUUUGAACGCAUCUUGCGCUCCUUGGUAUUCUGAGGAGCAUGCCUGUUUGAGUGUCAUUAAAUUCUCAACUACACUGACUUUGAAUUGGUGUGGCUUGGAUUUGGGGGGAAAAUUGUUGUGGGCUUUUUGUAUAGUCUGCUCCCCUGAAAUUGAUUAGCGGUACCUUUGUGGAACUGUCUACAGGUGUGAUAAUUAUCUACAUCUUAGACAUCUGCUGGAAUGCUGCUUUCUAAACCUUACUUGUAUGGACAAUCUUGACCUCAAAUCAGGUAGGACUACCCGCUGAACUUAAGCAUAUCAAUAAGCGGAGGA
rnacentral:misc_RNA from 1 species